GCAUGUCUAAGUAUGAACGCUUCGUACUGUGAAACUGCGAAUGGCUCAUUAAAUCAGUUAUAGUUUAUUUGAUGGUCGUUUGCUACAUGGAUAACCGUGGUAAUUCUAGAGCUAAUACAUGCAGAAGGUCCCGACUCCUGGAAGGGACGUAUUUAUUAGAUCCAAAACCAGCGCGGGUUGCCUUCACGGGCGCCCGGUACCUGGGUGAUUCAUGAUAACUUCUCGAAUCGCACGGCCCUCGCGCCGGCGAUGGUCCAUUCAAAUUUCUGCCCUAUCAACUUUCGAUGGUACGGUAGUGGCCUACCAUGGUUGCAACGGGUGACGGAGAAUUAGGGUUCGAUUCCGGAGAGGGAGCCUGAGAAACGGCUACCACAUCCAAGGAAGGCAGCAGGCGCGCAAAUUACCCAAUCCCGACUCGGGGAGGUAGUGACAAUAAAUAACAAUGCCGGGCUCUUGUAGUCUGGCAAUUGGAAUGAGUCCAAUCUAAACCCCUUAACGAGGAACAAUUGGAGGGCAAGUCUGGUGCCAGCAGCCGCGGUAAUUCCAGCUCCAAUAGCGUAUAUUAAAGUUGUUGCAGUUAAAAAGCUCGUAGUUGGAUUUCGGGGCGGCCCGGCCGGUCCGCCGCAAGGCGAGUACUGGUCGGGCGCCCUUCCUCUCGAAGGCUUCGACUGCUCUUGAUUGUGGUGGUCGAGGAGUUCGGGACGUUUACUUUGAAAAAAUUAGAGUGUUCAAGGCAGGCCGUGGCCUGAAUACAUUAGCAUGGAAUAAUGGAAGAGGACCUCGGUCCUAUUUUGUUGGUUUCCAGGGCCGAAGUAAUGAUUGAGAGGGACAGUUGGGGGCAUU
rnacentral:rRNA from 1 species